AGAGAGAGACAUGCGCGCAUAUCAAUAAGCGGAGGAAAAGAAACUAACAAGGAUUCCCCUAGUAACGGCGAGUGAAGCGGGAAGAGCUCAAAUUUGAAAUCUUCAAGGUUCUACCUUGACGAAUUGUAGUUUAAAGAAGUGUUUUCUGUUGGGAGUUUGGUAAAAGUUCUUUGGAAUAGGACAUCAUAGAGGGUGAGAAUCCCGUAUUUGGACCAUUAUUUCCUAGCUUUGUGAUACACUUUCAAAGAGUCGGAUUGUUUGGGAAUGCAGUCCAAAAUGGGUGGUAAAUUUCAUCUAAAGCUAAAUACUGGCGAGAGACCGAUAGCGAACAAGUACCGUGAGGGAAAGAUGAAAAGAACUUUGAAAAGAGAGUUAAACAGUACGUGAAAUUGUCAAAAGGGAAGCGUUUGACACCAGUGUUGCUUUCUCGAAAAUCAAUUAAUGAUGGCUUGAUGUUAGUGUUGUAUUGACUUUAUCAGCAUUACUGCUACGUUUUCUUGUCUUUGUGAAUGCACUUUUCGUUUAACAAGUCGACAUCAAUCUCUUUUGUUGUAAAAGAGUCAGAUGGAAGGUGGCUUUCAACUUCGGUUAAGUGUUUAUAGCCUUUUACCUUCUGCAGUCGGAGAGAUUGAGGUCUGCAGCGUAGAUCCUUCGGGGUUAGAUACAUUUGUGCUAAGCUAUAGCUUUUAUAGACAACUUGUUGACUAUAGUUUAGUCUUGUAGCUUACUCGCUUAUGCUAUUUUACCUACGCUUAGGAUGUUGACAGCAGUAUAGACUGU
rnacentral:rRNA from 1 species